GAUGAACGCUGGCGGCGUGCCUAAUACAUGCAAGUCGAGCGAACAGACGAGGAGCUUGCUCCUCUCACGUUAGCGGAGCACGGGUGAGUAACACGUGGAUCACCUACCUAUCAGACUGGGAUCACUUCGGGACACCGGCGCUAAUCCCGGAUAACCUGCUGCACCGCAUGGUUCAACAGAGAAAGACGGUCUUGCUGUCACUUAUAGAUGGAUCCCCGCCGCAUUAGCUAGUUGGUAAGGUAAAGGCUUACCAAGGCAACCAUGCGUAGCCGACCUGCGAGGGUGAUCGGCCACACUGGAGCUGGGACACGGUCCAGACGCCUACGGGAGGCAGCAGUAGGGAAUCUUCCGCAAUAGGCGAAAGCCUGACGGAGCAACGCCGCGUGAGUGAAGAAGGUCUUCGGAUCGUAAAACUCUGUUAUUAGGGAAGAACAAAUGUGUAAGUAACUAUGCACGUCUUGACGGUACCUAAUCAGAAAGCCACGGCUAACUACGUG
rnacentral:rRNA from 1 species